UACGUAGGGUCCAAGCGUUGUCCGGAUUUAUUGGGCGUAAAGAGCUCGUAGGUGGUUCGCUAAGUCGGAUGUGAAAACUCGGGGCUCAACCCCGGAGACGCCAUCCGAUACUGGCGUGACUUGAGUCUGGUAGGGGAGAUCGGAAUUCCUGGUGUAGCGGUGGAAUGCGCAGAUAUCAGGAGGAACACCAAUAGCGAAGGCAGCUCGCUGGGACGUUACUGACACUGAGGCGCGAAAGCGUGGGGAGCGAACAGG
rnacentral:rRNA from 1 species